UGUAAGCGUAUACCAAAGUUGUUGCAGUUAAAACGCUCGUAGUCGGAAUUUGGCAGUUCCGGAUGUGUGCACGUCGUGUGCGCACUUCGCGGGGAUUGCUUUUGUGGUCUUGCGUAGGAUGUGGCACUUUUAUUAGUGAACGUCCUCACGCAACCACUUUUUACUGUGAGAAAAUCAGAGUGCUCAAAGCAGGCAUUUGCCGUGAAUGUAUUAGCAUGGAAUAAUAGAAUAGGACUUGGUUCUAUUUUGUUGGUUUGUUGGGACUGAGUAAUGAUUAAGAGGGACAGUUGGGGGCAUUUGUAUUUCGGUGCUAGAGGUGAAAUUCUUAGAUUACCGAAAGACAAACUGCUGCGAAAGCGUCUGCCAAGGAUGUUUUCAUUGA
rnacentral:rRNA from 1 species